rnacentral:tRNA from 1 species
UCCCUGGUGGCUCAGAGGUUAAAGUGUCUGCCUCCAAUGCGGGAGACCUGGGUUCGAUCCCUGGGUGGGGAA